rnacentral:rRNA from 1 species
GUGGGGAAUAUUGGACAAUGGGCGCAAGCCUGAUCCAGCCAUGCCGCGUGAGUGAUGAAGGCCUUAGGGUUGUAAAGCUCUUUCAGUGGGGACGAUAAUGACGGUACCCACAGAAGAAGCCCCGGCUAACUUCGUGCCAGCAGCCGCGGUAAUACGAAGGGGGCUAGCGUUGUUCGGAUUUACUGGGCGUAAAGCGCACGUAGGCGGAUCGUUAAGUCGGGGGUGAAAUUCUGGAGCUCAACUCCAGAACUGCCUUCGAUACUGGCGAUCUUGAGUCCGGAAGAUGUGAGUGGAACUCCUAGUGUAGAGGUGGAAUUCGUAGAUAUUAGGAAGAACACCAGUGGCGAAGGCGGCUCACUGGUCCGGUACUGACGCUGAGGUGCGAAAGCGUGGGGAGCAAACAGGAUUAGAUACCCUAGUAGUCC